rnacentral:rRNA from 1 species
UUCGCAAUGCCCGAAAGGGUGACGAAGCGACGCCGCGUGGGUGAGGAAGGCCCUCGGGUUGUAAAGCCCUGUCAGGAGUUAAGAAAUGUAGGUACGCUAAUAUCGUAUCUAUUUGACAAAGGCUCCAAAGGAAGCCACGGCUAACUCUGUGCCAGCAGCCGCGGUAAUACAGAGGUGGCAAGCGUUGUUCGGAAUUAUUGGGCGUAAAGAGCACGUAGGUGGAUUUGUAAGUCAGAUGUGAAAGCCUUCUGUUCAACGGAAGAAUUGCAUCUGAAACUACAAACCUUGAGUAUAGGAGGGGAGAAUGGAACUUCUGGUGGAGCGGUGAAAUGCGUAGAUAUCAGAAGGAACGCCGGCGGCGAAAGCGAUUCUCUGGCCUAUUACUGACACUCAGUGUGCGAAAGCUAGGGGAGCAAACGGGAUUAGAUACCCCGGUAGUCCUAGCCGUAAACGAUGGGCACUAAGUAGA